UUGUUUAAAUAAUAAUAAUAAUAAUAAUAAAAAGAGGUAAACCCAAUUUCGCCUAUUAAUCCUCUUGAAUUUGAACAGAGAAGGUGACAAAAAACUGCAAAUUCCAAACAAUUCCCAAUGAACCUCUUUCCUCUUUCUAAUGGCUGCAACUUUCUCCACGGCUCUAGAUGGAUUUUAAUUGUAGAGCAUACAACACUCAAGAUACAAAGAACCCCAACUAGCUUCACUUCAUCAAU
rnacentral:lncRNA from 1 species